rnacentral:rRNA from 1 species
UACGGAGGGAGCUAGCGUUGUUCGGAAUUACUGGGCGUAAAGCGCGCGCAGGCGGCCCUUUAAGUCUGUCGGUCAAAUGCCGGGGCUCAACCCCGAGCGUGCCGAGGAUACUGGAGGGCUGGAGACACGUAGAGGCAAGCGGAAUUCCGGGUGUAGCGGUGGAAUGCGUAGAGAUCCGGAAGAACACCGGAGGCGAAGGCGGCUUGCUGGGCGUGAUCGUGACGCUGAGGCGCGAAAGGCGUGG